UAAAACGAAGAAGAACAACAAUUAAUUUUAAGAAGAUCUUGUUGUGAUCUGCAGUCCACAGAUCUGCGCUGGAGGGAAGCAAACAGGAGCUGACCUAGUAAACAAAUGGCUUCCUGUUGAUGGCAACAAAGUUUAGAUUUUCUUCAACAAACACACCAGGAGAUGCAACUAA